CGACAGCAUACGAUGCCGUAAGAAAACCAUGUUGAUUUCAGUGCAAGUGGUAUAUAUAUUAAUUUUUGCUCUUUUCUGGGUCGGGGAUGUGGGGCACACUCAAAAGCAAGCAAGAUAAACAACUGAUUGUGCUGUAAUGCUCACCAAAUUAAAAAACGACUACGGAAUCAACGAUAUAGCCGACAUAUUGCACUGCACUGUCUCUUUCACAUCGUCCGAUGUCGAAUUGGGAUUGCACAUGUUUUCGGUCUUCAGGUCAAUAUUGAAGGAAUUAGCGGGCGCUGCAAGCGUUCAAAUUGGAAUACCGAAUAACCAGUUCUCGUUCUCCACAUCCCGGCAUAUGCGACGGAUCCCGGGCAAUGAAACCACAUACCGUAUAAGAGCAAGUGGGUGCGAUCGGGUAUGUGCAGUUCGAAGGUGUUGCGGUUGCCGGUGGAACGCGGCUCCGCCGUACCCAAGACGUAACCGAAUUCCGUACGUAUGUUCUCAUUCAUGCCGGAUUUUGGCGAUGAACUGGAAGAAGUGUUCGAGGACGAACUGGAUGCCGAUCCAGCGACAUCAACGGCUUUGCCAGAUCGCGAAACGGAUGACUGGGACUGCGCUGGCUGAUUGCCGACUGUUGAAAAUAGAAAGUUAUUUCCUGAUAAAAUGUGUUCAUCACAGAAAGUUUUUACCUUAAAAUGUAAUGUUAUACAGAAUAAAUUUGCAAAAAAUGUAUUGUCGCUUCCUUGCCAACUCUCGAAGGAAAACGAAUAACAGUAACCCUAAAUUUUUUUUACAGCACUUAAUUCUUAUGUUUGCUAAAAAGUUUUUAAUGGUGCCUUUUAUUUUACAUAAAGAUGAACAACGUGUUACUGUACCUGAA